rnacentral:rRNA from 1 species
AAUCAACGCUGGCGGCGUGCCUCAGACAUGCAAGUCGAACGCGAAAGGCUCCUUCGGGGCCGAGUAGAGUGGCGCACGGGUGGAGUAACACGUAGGUAAUCUACCUCUGGGUGGGGAAGUAACAGCCGGAAACGGCUGCUAAUACCGCAUAAUGCAGCGGCUCGACAUCGAGACAGUUGUUAAAGCGGAGGAUCCCGCAAGGGGACUUCGCGCCUGAAGAGGAGCCUGCGGCAGAUUAGGUUGUUGGUGAGGUAAUGGCUCACCAAGCCUGCGAUCUGUAGCCGGCCGUGAGAGGGCGGUCGGCCACACUGACACUUGAAUACGGGUCAGACUCCUACGGGAGGCAGCAGUCGGGUAAUUUUGGGCAA